rnacentral:lncRNA from 1 species
UCAAAAUAAAAUCAGUUUCGAACUUGAACAUGCAGAAGCCUGUCAACUGAAGAUUGAAGCUUCAAAUAAAAAUCAUCUAAUUAGUGCCCUCGAUUCAUAGCUUUGAAGAUUGAAGCUUCAUAUAAGAAACAUCUCAUUAGUGCCUUGGUUUGGAUUUCAGCUUGACUGUGUUCAGAAUAAACAGUAUUACGACAGUUAGAUGACCUUGAUGCCCUUUAUCCUCCUCCUUUCUCUGUUUUAGUUCCUAAUCGGUGUUAUUUUGACCUUCACAGUCCCAUAUACUUGUCCACCCUACACCAAUGUCAUCCCCUCCAAC